rnacentral:rRNA from 1 species
GCCCAGAAGCGGGGGACAACAUUUGGAAACAGAUGCUAAUACCGCAUAACARCGUUGUUCGCAUGAACAACGCUCAAAAGAUGGCUUCUCGCUAUCACUUCUGGAUGGACCUGCGGUGCAUUAGCUUGUUGGUGGGGUAAYGGCCUACCAAGGCGAUGAUGCAUAGCCGAGUUGAGAGACUGAUCGGCCACAAUGGGACUGAGACACGGCCCAUACUCCUACGGGAGGCAGCAGUAGGGAAUCUUCCACAAUGGGCGCAAGCCUGAUGGAGCAACACCGCGUGAGUGAAGAAGGGUUUCGGCUCGUAAAGCUCUGUUGUUAAAGAAGAACACGUAUGAGAGUAACUGUUCAUACGUUGACGGUAUUUAACCAGAAAGUCACGGCUAACUACGUGCCAGCAGCCGCGGUAAUACGUAGGUGGCAAGCGUUAUCCGGAUUUAUUGGGCGUAAAGAGAGUGCAGGCGGUUUUCUAAGUCUGAUGUGAAAGCCUUCGGCUUAACCGGAGAAGUGCAUCGGAAACUGGAUAACUUGAGUGCAGAAGAGGGUAGUGGAACUCCAUGUGUAGCGGUGGAAUGCGUAGAUAUAUGGAAGAACACCAGUGGCGAAGGCGGCUACCUGGUCUGCAACUGACGCUGAGACUCGAAAGCAUGGGUAGCGAACAGGAUUAGAUACCCUGGUAGUCCAUGCCGUAAACGAUGAGUGCUAGGUGUUGGAGGGUUUCCGCCCUUCAGUGCCGGAGCUAACGCAUUAAGCACUCCGCCUGGGGAGUACGACCGCAAGGUUGAAACUCAAAGGAAUUGACGGGGGCCCGCACAAGCGGUGGAGCAUGUGGUUUAAUUCGAAGCUACGCGAAGAACCUUACCAGGUCUUGACAUCUUGCGCCAACCCUAGAGAU